AGAGUUUGAUCAUGGCUCAGGAUGAACGCUGGCGGCGUGCUUAACACAUGCAAGUCGAGCGAAGCGCCUUAACGGAAUUCUUCGGAAGGAAGAUAAGGGGACUGAGCGGCGGACGGGUGAGUAACGCGUGGGUAACCUGCCUUAUACAGGGGGAUAACAGCUGGAAACGGCUGCUAAUACCGCAUAAGCGCACGGCACCGCAUGGUGCAGUGUGAAAAACUGAGGUGGUAUAAGAUGGACCCGCGUCUGAUUAGGUAGUUGGUGGGGUAACGGCCUACCAAGCCGACGAUCAGUAGCCGACCUGAGAGGGCGAUCGGCCACAUUGGGACUGAGACACGGCCCAAACUCCUACGGGAGGCAGCAGUGGGGAAUAUUGCACAAUGGGGGAAACCCUGAUGCAGCGACGCCGCGUGAGCGAAGAAGUAUUUCGGUAUGUAAAGCUCUAUCAGCAGGGAAGAAAAUGACGGUACCUGACUAAGAAGCCCCGGCUAACUACGUGCCAGCAGCCGCGGUAAUACGUAGGGGGCAAGCGUUAUCCGGAUUUACUGGGUGUAAAGGGAGCGUAGACGGGACAGCAAGUCUGAUGUGAAAGGCGGGGGCUCAACCCCCGAACUGCAUUGGAAACUGUUGACCUGGAGUGCCGGAGAGGUAAGCGGAAUUCCUAGUGUAGCGGUGAAAUGCGUAGAUAUUAGGAGGAACACCAGUGGCGAAGGCGGCUUACUGGACGGUAACUGACGUUGAGGCUCGAAAGCGUGGGGAGCAAACAGGAUUAGAUACCCUGGUAGU
rnacentral:rRNA from 1 species